GUGAGGAAUAUUGCGCAAUGGAGGCAACUCUGACGCAGCCAUGCCGCGUGCAGGAAGAAGGCGCUACGCGUUGUAAACUGCUUUUAACCGGGAAGAAACCCCAGGACGUGUCCUGGGUUGACGGUACCGGAGGAAUAAGCACCGGCUAACUUCGUGCCAGCAGCCGCGGUAAUACGAAGGGUGCACGCGUUAUCCGGACUCAUUGGGUUUAAAGGUUGCGUAGGCGGAGCGUUAAGUCAGUGGUGAAAUCCUGCAGCUUAACUGUAGACUUGCAAUUGAUACUGGCGCUCUUGAGUGCGCUUGAAGUGGGCGGAAUGUGCCGUGUAGCGGUGAAAUGCUUAGAUAUGGCACAGAACACCAAUUGCGAAGGCAGCUCACUAAGGCGAUACUGACGCUGAGGCACGAAAGCGUGGGGAUCGAACAGGAUUAGAAACCCUGGUAGUCC
rnacentral:rRNA from 1 species